GACGAACGCUGGCGGCGUGCCUAAUACAUGCAAGUAGAACGCAAUUGCGAACGGGUGAGUAACGCGUAGGUAACUGCCUCAUAGCGGCGGAUAACUAUUCGAACCGAAACCUAAUACACCAUACUGUGAGAUGAACCUGCGUUGUAUUAGCUAGUUGGUGAGGUAAAGGCUCACCAAGGCGACGAUACAUAGCCGACCUGAGAGGGUGUUGCGCCACACGGGGACUGAGACACGGCCCAGACUUCUUCUGGAGGCAGGCGGAGGGGAUCUUCGGCAAUGGACGGAAGUCUUGCCGAGCAACGCCGCGGGAGUGAAGAAGGUUUUCGGGACGUAAAGCUCUGUUGGUAGAGAAGCGGUAACUAACCAGAAAGGGACGGCUAACUACGUGCCAGCAGCCGCGGUAAUAC
rnacentral:rRNA from 1 species